rnacentral:rRNA from 1 species
CAAUAGCGUAUAUUUAAGUUGUUGCAGUUAAAAAGCUCGUAGUUGGAUUUCGGUUGAGAACGGCCGGUCCGCCGUUUGGUGUGCACUGGCUGGUUUCAACUUCCUGUAGAGGACGCGCUCUGGCUUCACGGCUGGACGCGGAGUCUACGUGGUUACUUUGAAAAAAUUAGAGUGUUCAAAGCGGGCUUACGCUUGAAUAUUUCAGCAUGGAAUAACACUAUAGGACUCCUGUCCUAUUUCGUUGGUCUCGGGACGGGAGUAAUGAUUAAGAGGAACAGUUGGGGGCAUUCGUAUUUCAUUGUCAGAGGUGAAAUUCUUGGAUUUAUGAAAGACGAACUUCUGCGAAAGCAUUUGCCAAGGAUGUUUUCAUUAA